CACGGGGGGAGCAAGCGUUGUUCGGAAUCACUGGGCGUAAAGGGCGUGUAGGCGGUUCGGUAAGUGGAAUGUGAAAUGCUCCGGCUCACCCGGAGUACUGCAUCCCAAACUGCCGAGCUUGAGUAUGGGAGAGGAUGAGGGAAUUCCUGGUGUAGCGGUGAAAUGCGUAGAUAUCAGGAGGAACACCAGUGGCGAAGGCGACUCUCUGGACCGGUCCUGACGCUCAGGCGCGAAAGCGUGGGGAGCGAUCCGG
rnacentral:rRNA from 1 species